rnacentral:lncRNA from 1 species
AGUCAAAUUCAAAUUAAUUAUUUGGCUAGAGCGUGGUCAAUAAUGCAAGCUACACGUGUGCCAUGCAUAUCUCCAUCGAACAGCCAUCCGAGCUAAGUGAGAGUGCGCACGUGUGAUCACUAGCUAAAACCCAACUUUUGGGAUCCAAUAAAUGUAUGUCUACUUGCAUUCAGACAUUCAACGUGGGAUUAUUGAAUAGUGGGCUUAAAAAUUUGAACCUUUUGAAAGGAAAAAAAUAGUUAAAUUUGUAAUUAAACGGAUACGGCAA